UACGUAGGGGCCGAGCGUUGUCCGGAUUUACUGGGCGUAAAGAGCGCGCAGGCGGUCGUUCAAGUCGCGUGUGAAAGCCCCCGGCUCAACUGGGGAGGGUCACGCGAUACUGAUCGACUCGAAGGCAGGAGAGGGAAGUGGAAUUCCCGGUGUAGUGGUGAAAUGCGUAGAUAUCGGGAGGAACACCAGUGGCGAAGGCGACUUCCUGGCCUGUUCUUGACGCUGAGGCGCGAAAGCUAGGGGAGCAAACGGG
rnacentral:rRNA from 1 species